rnacentral:lncRNA from 1 species
UCCUUUUCCAAGCUGUGGGCUGCUCAGCUAGCCCAGGGAGGAGGCGGCUCCAGAGAGGUUCUGAUCCCUUCUGCAAGCACCCAGAGGUGGCCUAGGACAAGACUACGACAUUCUGAGUGCCCUCAAAGGGCAGGCUGUGGGCCAGGAAAUGAGGCUACAUGGAGGGAGAAGCAGCCUCGCUGGAUAAGGAAGGGCUUUGUGCAGCGAGACGGGGAGCCCCUGCAGGGAGCAGCUCCUGUCCCUGGCCAUGGGUGUCUGGGUGAAGAAGGAGCCCCAGCCCUGGGGAGAGAAUCCUCUGAUGCUCCUGCUCUGAGCCUCUCAAAUGUUAUCUCCAUAAUCACCACUGGGCCACAUGAUUCAUUGUAAAGGAUCUUAUGGAUUCUUAGACGGUUAAAAGUUGUGCAAAGGACACUGGGUGAGUGCCUGCCUUAUUUGGCCAAGGUUUCCAGCAUGCCCUGUGGCAUCCGUGGGCUCCUCCUGGCUGCAGCACUGGGGCGUGCUGGGCACACCCGCUCCAUCCCGGCACGAGACAGCAGCAGACACUCAAAGUCCCCCUGGCCCACAUCCAGGUCCUGGUGUGUGAGCACGUCUUGAAGAGGCCCAGCUGCUCCAGCUUUCCCCAAAACAUCUGAGUGGUUUCAGAAACUAUGCUUCUGACUCCCAAGAUGGCCUCAACUUCCUCCAGAGAGCGAAGGCUGGGGAGUAAACACAGCCUCCCGGCUCGCAGGUAAGUCCAGGGGUCCCCUCGAGGCUGACCCACAGAUGUGUCAACACUACUUGUUUACUAAAGAGACCCAGAGACCAGGCCACAGGCUGCAAGUCAGAGCAACUCUGCUCCUUCACGUGUGCCACAGACCACCCGAAAUCCAGUUGCAACCACCAAAUGCUCUCUUUCCCNUUGGUGCAGAGUGAGGCCAGGUGUCCGUGUGAGGCCAGGGGCUUUCCGGUGCCCACACCUGACAGGUACAGGGCCGAGAGGAAUGGCUUCACAAGUAUGGAAGAUCUAGGACAGAGGUCUCUGAUUCCCAAUAACAUGAGAGUGGGGCCCCAGAGCAGUACAGGAAGGGCCACUGUUCAGACUCCUCACUGGGAGAAGUCCCUGGGCAGAGCAGGGCAGGCUGUUCUCCAUGGCAGCUGGUGGAUGGAGUCUCCAGCUGGGGCCUGGCACUGGAGAUGCUGAAGGCCUAUAGGCACCUGGGUCUCAAAAUCCUCCUGCUGUGGCGACUGCAGGACAUUUGGAGACAAGUGUGCGGCCCCUGGUUCUUCCCCAGCGCAGAGACCAAUGUGACAGGUGCAGCCCUGAUGGUGCAUGCCAGUGACAACAAUGACAACGCCCCAUCCCUCAACUUCCCUUCUGACUCAGGAGAAAGCCACAAGGCUGGCUUGCAGCCCACUAGGAGCCAGGUUUACAGUAAUGGGGCUGGCAGGAGGCCAGCAAG